AGUGAACGCUGGCGGUAGGCCUAACACAUGCCAGUCGAACGGCAGCACAGUAAGAGCUUGCUCUUACGGGUGGCGAGUGGCGGACGGGUGAGGAAUACAUCGGAAUCUACUUUUUCGUGGGGGAUAACGUAGGGAAACUUACGCUAAUACCGCAAACGACCUACGGGUGAAAGAAGGGGAUCUUCGGACCUUGCGCGAUUGAAUGAGCCGAUGUCGGAUUAGCUAGUUGGCGGGGUAAAGGCCCACCAAGGCGACGAUCCGUAGCUGGUCUGAGAGGAUGAUCAGCCACACUGGAACUGAGACACGGUCCAGACUCCUACGGGAGGCAGCAGUGGGGAAUAUUGGACAAUGGGCGCAAGCCUGAUCCAGCCAUACCGCGUGGGUGAAGAAGGCCUUCGGGUUGUAAAGCCCUUUUGUUGGGAAAGAAAAGCAGCAGGUUAAUACCCCGCUGUUCUGACGGUACCCAAAGAAUAAGCACCGGUUAACUUCGUG
rnacentral:rRNA from 1 species